rnacentral:rRNA from 1 species
GAUGAACGCUGGCGGCGUGCCUAACACAUGCAAGUCGAACGGAGUCCAGCCUUUAAGACCUUCGGGUCAAAGAGGGGAAGACUGAGUGGCGGACGGGUGAGUAACACGUGGGCAACCUGGCUCAUAGAGGGGGAUAACAGAGAGAAAUUUCUGCUAAUACCGCAUAAGCACACACUGCCGCAUGGCAGAGGGUGAAAAGAGAAUCGCUAUGAGAUGGACCCGCGUCUGAUUAGCCAGUUGGCAGGGUAAGAGCCUACCAAAGCGACGAUCAGUAGCCGAUCUGAGAGGAUGAACGGCCACAUUGGGACGGAGACACGGCCCAAACUCCUACGGGAGGCAGCAGUGGGGGAUAUUGCACAAUGGGGGGAACCCUGAUGCAGCGACGCCGCGUGAGUGAAGAAGUAUUUCGGUAUGUAAAGCUCUAUCAGCAGGGAAGAUAAUGACAGUACCUGAAUAAGAAGCCCCGGCUAACUACGUG